rnacentral:rRNA from 1 species
AGACUGCCAAGAAAACCUGCUAAGCGUUUACUGCUUGCUAGCCCGUACCGCAAACCGACACAGGUAGUCAAGGAGAGCAUCCUGAGGCGCUCGAGUGAAUCACGGCCAAGGAACUCGGCAAAAUGGUCCUGUAACUUCGGGAGAAGGGACGCUUACUCACCUUCGGGUGAGAAGCCGCAGUAAAAAGGCCCAGGCGACUGUUUAACAAAAACACAUGGCUUUGCGAAAUCGAAAUAUGAAGUAUAAGGCCUGACACCUGCCCGGUGCCGGAAGGUUAA